UCCCUGGUGGCUCAGACAGUAAAGCAUCUGCCUGCAAUGCAGGAGACCCGGGUUCAAUUCCUGGGUUGGGAA
rnacentral:tRNA from 1 species